CAAAGAAUAUCCUGGAGGUUGCGGAAAAGAUGAGCAGCUUCUUUCAAAUUGCACAACCACAACCGUGACAGAAAAUGGUGGAGAUCCUGCUGGCAAUGUUGCUGUAACUAAUUCCAAGUCCCCAGUACUGCAACCCGAUGCUAGUGUUGAUGAAAAACCUUCGCCUCAACUUUCUGCCACCCUAGCUACUGGAGAUGAGUUUCCUAAAGAACCGAGUUGCGGUGGCCUGGAUCUUGUUUCUAAAGUUGAUGUAACUGCUAACACCCAGAAAGUAGAGAAAGAGCAGAAAAAUUUAGACUUGAGUGAGAAAAUGUCUGUACUUGACAUACAGAGCACCUGUCGCGUCGGAGUUACUGAUACCAGGGUAUCACUUAAGAUUGGAUCAGAACAGAGUCAUGUUAAAAGCAACAAUGAUGGAGCACCAGGUUCGCCAUCAGCUCUAACGUAUUAUUUUAAUCUUUUUUGCUUUGUCAUCUGGUACAGUGAUACUAUUCUUUUUUCGUUUGCGGAAUACUAUCAUAUUUCAGGUCACGGUAGUGGUUCUGUGAUGGCCGUGUGCAGUAGGGUUGCUAACAUAGAAUACAAAGCCGGUGCUGAUGCUGGGCCGUCUGAAGAGGUGAGUAAUGCUUUACUUGGCAUUUGCUUGUUUUUCAGACCUAGAUAUCUGGUUGUAGUGCUCUCCAUGAUAUUUUAUCCUUUUCAUAUUACUAGAGAGCCGUUGCUUUAAGAAUCGUUACGUUUAUUAUUGCCCUCCAGGUUGGGACCGCAAGCGGCGGGUCAUUUAACGAUGACAAGAAAGUUAAUCAGAACCAGGUCAAAUCCACUUCUCCU
rnacentral:lncRNA from 1 species